rnacentral:rRNA from 1 species
ACUCAAAGGAAUUGACGGGGGCCCGCACAAGCGGAGGAACAUGUGGUUUAAUUCGAUGAUACGCGAGGAACCUUACCUGGGCUUAAAUGUACAGUGCAUUCUGGAGAAAUUUGGAUUUCCUUUUAGGACUCUGUGCAAGGUGCUGCAUGGUUGUCGUCAGCUCGUGCCGUGAGGUGUCGGGUUAAGUCCCAUAACGAGCGCAACCCUUAUCGUUAGUUGCCAUCGGGUCAUGCCGGGGACUCUAGCGAAACUGCCGGUGUAAACCGUGAGGAAGGUGGGGAUGACGUCAAAUCAGCACGGCCCUUAUGUCCAGGGCUACACACGUGUUACAAUGGCCGGUACAGAGGGCAGCCACCUGGAGACAGGGAGCGAAUCUCGAAAGCCGGUCUCAGUUCGGAUCGGAGUCUGCAACUCGACUUCGUGAAGCUGGAUUCGCUAGUAAUCGCGCAUCAGCCACGGCGCGGUGAAUACGUUCCCGGGCCUUGUACACACCGCCCGU